rnacentral:rRNA from 1 species
GGGGGGAGCAAGCGUUGUUCGGAUUUACUGGGCGUAAAGGGCGCGUAGGCGGCCACCGCAAGUCGACUGUGAAAUCUCCGAGCUUAACUCGGAAAGGUCAACUGAUACUGUGCGGCUAGAGUGCGGAAGGGGCAACUGGAAUUCUUGGUGUAGCGGUGAAAUGCGUAGAUAUCAAGAGGAACACCUGCGGSGAAGGCGGGUUGCUGGGCCGACACUGACGCUGAGGCGCGAAAGCCAGGGGAGCGAACGGGAUUAGAUACCCCGGUAGUCCUGGCCUUAAACGAUGAAUGCUUGGUGUCUGGGGUUAUAUAGUCCCCGGGUGCCGUCGCUAACGCUUUAAGCAUUCCGCCUGGGGAGUACGGUCGCAAGACUG